GGGUCGUUAGCUCAGCGGUAGAGCACUACCUUGACACGGUAGGGGUCAGUGGUUCGAUCCCACUACGACCCACCA
rnacentral:tRNA from 1 species